CAUUGAAGGGGCGUUCUAAAUAUUUUAAAUAGCCUAAGUUUGUCAAACUGAGGUAAAUAGGCUAUAUUCCAUAAUAGAGUAUGAUUCACUAUUUUUAAAGGGGUUGCCUAUAUUGAAGGGGCGCUCAUAGUAAUUUUAAAAAGGCUAAGUUUGUCAAACUGAGGUAAAUAGGCUAUAUUCCAUAGUAGAAUAUGAUUCACCAUUUUUAAAGGGGUAGCCUAUAUUGAAGGGGCGCUUUAAAUAUUUUAAAUAGCCUAAGUUUGUCAAACUGAGGUAAAUAGGCUAUAUUCCAUAGUAAAGUAUGAUUCACUAUUUUUAAAGGGGUUGCCUAUAUUGAAGGGGCGCUUUAAAUAUU